rnacentral:rRNA from 1 species
CAGACCCUCGGUUGUCUGACCAGCUGCCCGGCGGUACUCGCACGGUAUCGAGCCGCAGAUAUUUAAAACUGCGUCCGGCCCGCCGCAAGCGCGGCCAGUGUUUACCCGGAUGUACGGACCUAGCGCCGUCGUCGGGCCUGGCCAGCUGUUGGCCGGCGGUGUCCUGGGACUGGCUCUUCCAUUAUUACCGGUCGGCGAUGCUACUGCUUUGGGUACUUUCAGGACCCGUCUUGAAACACGGACCA